rnacentral:rRNA from 1 species
UACGUAGGGUGCGAGCGUUAAUCGGAAUUACUGGGCGUAAAGCGUGCGCAGGCGGUUAUGUAAGACAGAUGUGAAAUGCCCGGGCUUAACCUGGGAACUGCAUUUGUGACUGCAUGGCUAGAGUGUGUCAGAGGGGGGUAGAAUUCCACGUGUAGCAGUGAAAUGCGUAGAUAUGUGGAGGAAUACCGAUGGCGAAGGCAGCCCCCUGGGAUAACACUGACGCUCAUGCAACGAAAGCGUGGGGAGCAAACAGG